rnacentral:rRNA from 1 species
CCUACGGGAGGCAGCAGUAGGGAAUCUUCCACAAUGGACGAAAGUCUGAUGGAGCAACGCCGCGUGAGUGAAGAAGGGUUUCGGCUCGUAAAGCUCUGUUGGUAGUGAAGAAAGAUAGAGGUAGUAACUGGCCUUUAUUUGACGGUAAUUACUUAGAAAGUCACGGCUAACUACGUGCCAGCAGCCGCGGUAAUACGUAGGUGGCAAGCGUUGUCCGGAUUUAUUGGGCGUAAAGCGAGUGCAGGCGGUUCAAUAAGUCUGAUGUGAAAGCCUUCGGCUCAACCGGAGAAUUGCAUCAGAAACUGUUGAACUUGAGUGCAGAAGAGGAGAGUGGAACUCCAUGUGUAGCGGUGGAAUGCGUAGAUAUAUGGAAGAACACCAGUGGCGAAGGCGGCUCUCUGGUCUGCAACUGACGCUGAGGCUCGAAAGCAUGGGUAGC